GAGAGGUAGGAGCAGUAGAGUUUCUCACUCAGCUGCGUCCUAUUGUUGAGCCUAAGUGGCAAGCUACCAUUGAUGGAAUCUUGGAUGGGUUGUUUCAGCUUCCAGAAAUCCCUCCAGAUUUUCCAGAAAUCUCCUUCCAUGGAAAGUCAGCAGCAUUAACGAAACAAAAAGCAAUGCCACCUAUCCAAGCUGAAGAUGAAACACCCUUGGUUGGAUACUUCCAAAACAUAACCACAAGACCAUUAGAAAUUCCUCCUCGGAGAAUAGCAGUUCCCUGAGGAGUAAUAAUCACAGAGAUUUUUCUCCAGCGACCAAAGAUUAUUCAGAAUCUUCUAAACCUACUUAAGCUAAAUACUGGCAGGGACAGUGCUAGUUAUUUGACAUUGCAAGCUGUUUCCUGCCUGCGCCAACUGUGUACAAACCUCAGGAGCAGGCUCAGCUUUCACAGAGACCCUAGUUUCUACUCAGCCAAACAAGGCUCCCUUGAGAAAGAUAUAUACAACAUAUUUGACUGGUGUUCUUCAUUGGAACAUGUGACAGGCUGGUCGGGGUAAGGAGACUUUGUCAGGAAGUGCAGGGAAA